AGCGAACGCUGGCGGCAGGCCUAAUACAUGCAAGUCGAGCGCACCUUCGGGUGAGCGGCGGACGGGUGAGUAACGCGUGGGAACGUGCCCUUUGGUACGGGAUAACUGAGGGAAACUUCAGCUAAUACCGUAUGUGCCCUACGGGGGAAAGAUUUAUCGCCAUUGGAGCGGCCCGCGUUGGAUUAGGUAGUUGGUGAGGUAAAGGCUCACCAAGCCUACGAUCCAUAGCUGGUCUGAGAGGAUGAUCAGCCACACUGGGACUGAGACACGGCCCAGACUCCUACGGGAGGCAGCAGUAGGGAAUCUUGCGCAAUGGGCGAAAGCCUGACGCAGCCAUGCCGCGUGUAUGAUGAAGGUCUUAGGAUUGUAAAAUACUUUCACCGGGGAAGAUAAUGACGGUACCCGGAGAAGAAGCCCCGGCUAACUUCGUGCCAGCCGCCGCCGUAA
rnacentral:rRNA from 1 species